GUUUGAUCCUGGCUCAGGACGAACGCUGGCGGCGCGCUUAACACAUGCAAGUCGAGCGAGAACCAGGCCUUCGGGCCUGGGGAAAGCGGCGAACGGGUGAGUAACACGUGGGUAACCCACCCUUGGUACCGGGAUAGCCCGAGGAAACUCGGAUUAAUACCGGAUGGCCCAACAGCUUCUCGGAGCGGUUGGAAAAGGUAGCUUCGGCCUCCGACCAAGGACGGGCCCGCGGUGGAUUAGCUUGUUGGUGAGGUAACGGCUCACCAAGGCUUCGAUCCAUAGCUGGUCUGAGAGGACGAUCAGCCACACUGGGACUGAGACACGGCCCAGACUCCUACGGGAGGCAGCAGUGGGGAAUCUUGCGCAAUGGGCGAAAGCCUGACGCAGCGACGCCGCGUGGGGGAAGAAGGCUUUCGGGUUGUAAACCCCUUUCAGGAAGGACGAAGCCACUCGGGUUAAUAGCCCAGAGGGUGACGGUACUUCCAGAAGAAGCCCCGGCUAACUACGUGCCAGCAGCCGCGGUAAUACGUAGGGGGCAAGCGUUGUCCGGAUUUAUUGGGCGUAAAGAGCGUGUAGGCGGUCAGGUAGGUCCGUUGUGAAAACUCGAGGCUCAACCUCGAGACGCCGAUGGAAACCAUCUGACUAGAGUCCGGAAGAGGAGAGUGGAAUUCCUGGUGUAGCGGUGAAAUGCGCAGAUAUCAGGAAGAACACCCGUGGCUAAGGCGGCUCUCUAGUACGGUACUGACGCUGAGACGCGAAAGCGUGGGGAGCGAACAGGAUUAGAUACCCUGGUAGUCCACGCCGU
rnacentral:rRNA from 1 species